rnacentral:piRNA from 1 species
UGCCUGCCCUGUUUCCUAAUUGGAUCACC